rfam:Egretta garzetta contig26203, whole genome shotgun sequence.
CUUGCUUCUCGGCCUUUUGGCUAAGAUCACGUGUACUAUCUGUUCUUAUCAGUUUAAUAUCUGAUACGUCCUCACUGAGAGGACUUCAUAUUAAAUGGAUUUUUGGGGCUGGGAGUUGGACCCGGAGCUUGCUCCCUCUGUUGUCAUUUAUUUUAGAGCUACAAAAAUGCCCCGAGGGCUGGAGCCCCU